CCUACGUGGGGCAGCAGUGGGGAAUAUUGCACAAUGGGGGAAACCCUGAUGCAGCGACGCCGCGUGAGCGAAGAAGUACUUCGUUAUGUAAAGCUCUAUUAGUAGGGAAGAUAAUGACGGUAGCUGAGUAAAAAGCCCCGGCUAACUACGUGCCAGCAGCCGCGGUAAUAAGUAGGGGGCGAGCGUUAUCCGGAUUUACUGGGUGUAAAGGGAGCGCAGGCGGCGUUGCAAGGCAGGCGGGAAAGGUAGGGGCUCAACCCCAAGACUGCGCUGGAAACUGUACGGCGGGAGUGCAGGAGAGGUAAGCGGAAUUCCUGGUGUAGCGGUGAAAUGCGUAGAUAUUAGGAGGAACACCAGUGGCGAAGGCGGCUUACUGGACUGUAACUGACGUUGAGGCACGAAAGCAUGGGGAGCAAACAGGAUUAGAUACCCGUGUAGUC
rnacentral:rRNA from 1 species